GUGAGAAAUUACUUCCAUGAAGUAGCAGUGUGUAGGUGUUCUAAAUUUCCAACAAUUAAGAUUAAAUAGUUUCACACAAUGUGAUACAAUUUCCUGUAAUUGCCUGAUAAUUCAUUUUAUUUCUAACACCUCCUUUAUACUUAAUUAUAGCAGCUUCUAGAAGCAAGUUACUUUGUAAUUUGUUGGAAAGUACUGGCGAUUCCAGUUUUAUUUGAUGGAGGAUAUUAAGCAGCACCUACUUAUUAAUGCUUUAACAUUCAGUUGGAUGAACAGUCUAAAUUGAAAAGAUGACAUUGAAGUGAUAUACAUACACAUCUAAAGAAUGUCCAAUGAUUUAGUUUUGAGGCUAAAAAAAUACAUGUUUAAUUGAGCUGAAUAUACUUUAUUUUUCAGAUGGAGAAAUCAAUUAUUCUAUUGCUCUGGUUACAAUAUGUUGUUAAGAUCUCAAAAAGUUUCUGUCAUAUGCCAACGAAUAAUAAAACAACAGCAGUUUUUAUUGAAUGGGAUGAAUUUCCUAAGGCAGGAAAUCCUGAAUUUUAUUUUUUAAAAUACCAACUUGUUAAUAAUUUUGCUGAAAAAAAUAUCAAAAGCAUUCUUGUAAAUCCACAAGAGCUUUCAAAAUCAAUAACAUUAGAGGAAAAUGAAGACUAUCACAUCAUUCUACAGUCCCUAAAAUAUGGACAAAUUUUAAGUGAAAAGUCAUUUAAAGUCCGUAAGUAAUAUAUAUUUGUUGUUUGUCUGUAUUGCCUAAUUGUAAAAAGGAAACAAUUUUAUUACCAGGUAAUCUGAAUUUUGUAGUAGUUAACAGUCAUAUAAUGGUCCAAAAUUACAUCAUGAUGAUAGUGUUUUGUGUUUUUUUAACAUAUGUAAAUUUCAAAAUUUAAAGGAAAUUAUAUAUUAAGAAGAAGAUUUUAAUUUCUGACAUUUGAUGUGUACUAAUAUGAAUAGAUAGGCAUAGCAGAGAUGUUACAUGCAAUCUAGAUUAUCUAAAAAUAUUAUAAUGCAGAUUUGUAAUCUAAGUCAUUUAUUUUAAGCAGGGGACAAGAAACUCUCAUAUAGUCUAGAAAGUAUUUUAUAGUAGAUAAUUUGCUCUCCUAUCAUAGUCAUUCUUUUGUGACUCAACAUCUUUUGUGUUUCAUUCAGUUUUAUUUGAAUCCAACUAAUUAUUGUUCUUGACUUUUUUUUUUUAGGUAGUUUCUCAACUAGCAAUAUUAAAACAGUAGUGACAAGCACGAGUGUUUCUUUUAAUUGGAGUGUACUGUCUUCCAAUGACAUUUCAGUGUCAAUAUCUCUCAAUAAUUCUUCACAAAUUAUGCCAAAUAAUGUUACAGUUAAUGAGUGGGAUAAUUUAAAACCUAGAAGCCUAUAUACUUUUAAAUUUGAAUUUAAACAGUUGUAUUUGGAUUUUAUAAAUAUAUUGCAGAGACUGGAUGUUCAAGUAGAAACAGGUAUGCAAAUAUCGGGUUCAUUAUUAAUAUAUUAUAUAUCUUGUAGAUAACUU
rnacentral:lncRNA from 1 species